rnacentral:rRNA from 1 species
AGAGCGAACGCUGGCGGCAGGCUUAACACAUGCAAGUCGAGCGGAUGUAGCAAUACAUCAGCGGCAGACGGGAUAGUAACACGUGGGAACGCGCCCUUUGGUUCGGAAUAACUCAGGGAAACUUGAGCUAAUACCGGAUAAGCCCUUACGGGGAAAGAUUUAUCGCCAAAGGAACGGCCCGCGUCCGAUUAGCUAGUUGGUGAGGUAAUGGCUCACCAAGGCGACGAUCGGUAGCUGGUCUGAGAGGAUGACCAGCAUCACUGGGACUGAGACACGGCCCAGACUCCUACGGGAGGCAGCAGUGGGAAUAUUGGACAAUGGGCGCAAGCCUGAUCCAGCCAUGCCGCGUGGAUGAUGAAGGCCCUAGGGUUGUAAAGUCCUUUUAACGGGGAGAUAAUGACGGUACCCGUAGAAUAAGCCCCGGCUAACUUCGUGCCAGCAGCCGC